AGGAUUUAGAACAAUCGUUGUCUUAUAUUCUUAAAAAAAAAAAAAAAAACCAGCGAACAGAGAAUGUUGAACAUCGGUCGAUCGGCGAAUCAUUAGCGAAAUUUACCGAGAAUCUACCUAUUUCGUCUUCGUUUAUACUUUAUGUUAGUGUUAAUUCUCUAUAAAGAGAUUUCAGAUUAUUACAAACAUAAUGAUGUUGCCAAAAGAAGAGGAACUACCAAGAUAAGUUUUCGUCACGAUUAGUAGAAAACAUUCGAACUUAUUCAAAUAUGUAACCCUGCUUAUACAAAGUUCAAUAUCUGCAGGUCUACCAUCAUUUGGGAUUAUAGUUCUUAUGGAGGAGGGAGAUUUGAUAUUGUCUUUGGAGCUUUGCAGAAAUCUAAUAUAAAAGGUUUGAGGUUAGCAAGAUUGGUGAUACCAAGAUUUCUUCCAUUGUUAGAAAUGAGAAACGAAGUAGCAAGAUUGGUUCUUUGCAGCCAAUUUUUAAAAAGGAGUAGCAAAAGAUUAGAAAGCAAGAUCAAGCCGAGGAUUGUCAAGUGACGAAAUCGCCUAAUUCUGUUUCCUUCGGGUCUAGCUCUGAUCCGCGUGUCGAUCCACCAAAGAAGUCCAGGAUCCGCGUCUUAAUCCGAUCCAGUAACCCAUGAUCCGCGGGUUUUUUCAAGUUGUAAUUAUACUUUUACCCUUAAACGAUUAUUUUCAUUUACUCUUUCAAUGUAAUAUUUCUAAUGGCAUCUCUUGUAAUUUUUUACAUUUUAUAAGGUUAGUUUUUAGGGAAUGCUUCCCAAUUAAUAGUAUAGAUGUGUCUAUAAAGUGUAGAAUACUAUAAAUCACAUAGUAUAAAGACAUGUACAUUUGGAUUCGAUAUUGUUAAGAAUAAGGCCCAAUCUGAAA